rnacentral:rRNA from 1 species
UACGGGGGGGGCAAGCGUUGUUCGGAAUUACUGGGCGUAAAGGGCUCGUAGGCGGCCAACUAAGUCGGACGUGAAAUCCCCAGGCUCAACCUGGGAACUGCAUCCGAUACUGGAUGGCUUGAAUUCGGGAGAGGGAUGCAGAAUUCCAGGUGUAGCGGUGAAAUGCGUAGAUAUCAGGAGGAACACCGGUGGCGAAGGCGGAUCUCUGGGCCAUUACUGACGCUGAGGAGCGAAAGCGUGGGGAGCGAACAGG